GUGAAUCAUCGAAUUUUUGAACGCAAAUUGCACUCUCCUCGGAGAGUAUGCCUGUUCGAGGGUCAGCCUAUAAAAAAUCGACAUCGUUGCUGUUUCGCGGUGACGUUCGUCGGAAAUUGAGCCAUCUUAAAUCCUUCUGGUUUUAAGCGACUUAAAAAUUUCUUUUUGGUUCCAUGAACGUUUCUAAGAUUGAUUUCUUUACACGAUUAAGGGUAUCGAUUUUUAUUAGACGUGGCCGUCAUAUCGGAUCGCGUCCAUAAUUUUUCUCUAACUAACCUCAGAC
rnacentral:misc_RNA from 1 species